rnacentral:rRNA from 1 species
UGGGUGAUCUGCCCUGCACUUCGGGAUAAGCCUGGGAAACUGGGUCUAAUACCGGAUAUGACCUUGGGAUGCAUGUCCUUUGGUGGAAAGCUUUUGCGGUGUGGGAUGGGCCCGCGGCCUAUCAGCUUGUUGGUGGGGUUAAGGCCUACCAAGGCGACGACGGGUAGCCGGCCUGAGAGGGUGACCGGCCACACUGGGACUGAGAUACGGCCCAGACUCCUACGGGAGCA